GGGGGUGUGGCUCAGUGGUAGAGUGCUCACCUAGCACAUGUGAGGCCCUGGAUUCAAUCCUCAGCACCACAU
rnacentral:tRNA from 1 species